GGGUUGUGAGGUUAAGCGACUAAGCGUACACGGUGGAUGCCCUGGCAGUCAGAGGCGAUGAAGGACGUGCUAAUCUGCGAUAAGCGUCGGUAAGGUGAUAUGAACCGUUAUAACCGGCGAUUUCCGAAUGGGGAAACCCAGUGUGAUUCGUCACACUAUCAUUAACUGAAUCCAUAGGUUAAUGAGGCGAACCGGGGGAACUGAAACAUCUAAGUACCCCGAGGAAAAGAAAUCAACCGAGAUUCCCCCAGUAGCGGCGAGCGAACGGGGAGCAGCCCAGAGCCUGAAUCAGUGUGUGUGUUAGUGGAAGCGUCUGGAAAGGCGCGCGAUACAGGGUGACAGCCCCGUACACAAAAAUGCACAUACUGUGAGCUCGAUGAGUAGGGCGGGACACGUGGUAUCCUGUCUGAAUAUGGGGGACCAUCCUCCAAGGCUAAAUACUCCUGACUGACCGAUAGUGAACCAGUACCGUGAGGGAAAGGCGAAAAGAACCCCGGCGAGGGGAGUGAAAAAGAACCUGAAACCGUGUACGUACAAGCAGUGGGAGCCUCUUUUAUGGGGUGACUGCGUACCUUUUGUAUAAUGGGUCAGCGACUUAUAUUCUGUAGCAAGGUUAACCGAAUAGGGGAGCCGAAGGGAAACCGAGUCUUAACCGGGCGUUAAGUUGCAGGGUAUAGACCCGAAACCCGGUGAUCUAGCCAUGGGCAGGUUGAAGGUUGGGUAACACUAACUGGAGGACCGAACCGACUAAUGUUGAAAAAUUAGCGGAUGACUUGUGGCUGGGGGUGAAAGGCCAAUCAAACCGGGAGAUAGCUGGUUCUCCCCGAAAGCUAUUUAGGUAGCGCCUCGUGAAUUCAUCUCCGGGGGUAGAGCACUGUUUCGGCAAGGGGGUCAUCCCGACUUACCAACCCGAUGCAAACUGCGAAUACCGGAGAAUGUUAUCACGGGAGACACACGGCGGGUGCUAACGUCCGUCGUGAAGAGGGAAACAACCCAGACCGCCAGCUAAGGUCCCAAAGUCAUGGUUAAGUGGGAAACGAUGUGGGAAGGCCCAGACAGCCAGGAUGUUGGCUUAGAAGCAGCCAUCAUUUAAAGAAAGCGUAAUAGCUCACUGGUCGAGUCGGCCUGCGCGGAAGAUGUAACGGGGCUAAACCAUGCACCGAAGCUGCGGCAGCGACACUGUGUGUUGUUGGGUAGGGGAGCGUUCUGUAAGCCUGUGAAGGUGUACUGUGAGGUAUGCUGGAGGUAUCAGAAGUGCGAAUGCUGACAUAAGUAACGAUAAAGCGGGUGAAAAGCCCGCUCGCCGGAAGACCAAGGGUUCCUGUCCAACGUUAAUCGGGGCAGGGUGAGUCGACCCCUAAGGCGAGGCCGAAAGGCGUAGUCGAUGGGAAACAGGUUAAUAUUCCUGUACUUGGUGUUACUGCGAAGGGGGACGGAGAAGGCUAUGUUGGCCGGGCGACGGUUGUCCCGGUUUAAGCGUGUAGGCUGGUUUUCCAGGCAAAUCCGGAAAAUCAAGGCUGAGGCGUGAUGACGAGGCACUACGGUGCUGAAGCAACAAAUGCCCUGCUUCCAGGAAAAGCCUCUAAGCAUCAGGUAACAUCAAAUCGUACCCCAAACCGACACAGGUGGUCAGGUAGAGAAUACCAAGGCGCUUGAGAGAACUCGGGUGAAGGAACUAGGCAAAAUGGUGCCGUAACUUCGGGAGAAGGCACGCUGAUAUGUAGGUGAAGUCCCUCGCGGAUGGAGCUGAAAUCAGUCGAAGAUACCAGCUGGCUGCAACUGUUUAUUAAAAACACAGCACUGUGCAAACACGAAAGUGGACGUAUACGGUGUGACGCCUGCCCGGUGCCGGAAGGUUAAUUGAUGGGGUCAGCGCAAGCGAAGCUCUUGAUCGAAGCCCCGGUAAACGGCGGCCGUAACUAUAACGGUCCUAAGGUAGCGAAAUUCCUUGUCGGGUAAGUUCCGACCUGCACGAAUGGCGUAAUGAUGGCCAGGCUGUCUCCACCCGAGACUCAGUGAAAUUGAACUCGCUGUGAAGAUGCAGUGUACCCGCGGCAAGACGGAAAGACCCCGUGAACCUUUACUAUAGCUUGACACUGAACAUUGAGCCUUGAUGUGUAGGAUAGGUGGGAGGCUUUGAAGUGUGGACGCCAGUCUGCAUGGAGCCGACCUUGAAAUACCACCCUUUAAUGUUUGAUGUUCUAACGUGGACCCGUGAUCCGGGUUGCGGACAGUGUCUGGUGGGUAGUUUGACUGGGGCGGUCUCCUCCUAAAGAGUAACGGAGGAGCACGAAGGUUGGCUAAUCCUGGUCGGACAUCAGGAGGUUAGUGCAAUGGCAUAAGCCAGCUUGACUGCGAGCGUGACGGCGCGAGCAGGUGCGAAAGCAGGUCAUAGUGAUCCGGUGGUUCUGAAUGGAAGGGCCAUCGCUCAACGGAUAAAAGGUACUCCGGGGAUAACAGGCUGAUACCGCCCAAGAGUUCAUAUCGACGGCGGUGUUUGGCACCUCGAUGUCGGCUCAUCACAUCCUGGGGCUGAAGUAGGUCCCAAGGGUAUGGCUGUUCGCCAUUUAAAGUGGUACGCGAGCUGGGUUUAGAACGUCGUGAGACAGUUCGGUCCCUAUCUGCCGUGGGCGCUGGAGAACUGAGGGGGCUGCUCCUAGUACGAGAGGACCGGAGUGGACGCAUCACUGGUGUUCGGGUUGUCAUGCCAAUGGCACUGCCCGGUAGCUAAAUGCGGAAGAGAUAAGUGCUGAAAGCAUCUAAGCACGAAACUUGCCCCGAGAUGAGUUCUCCCUGACCCUUUAAGGGUCCUGAAGGAACGUUGAAGACGACGACGUUGAUAGGCCGGGUGUGUAAGCGCAGCGAUGCGUUGAGCUAACCGGUACUAAUGAACCGUGAGGCUUAACCUUACAACGCCGAAGGUGUUU
rnacentral:rRNA from 1 species